AUCGCUUCUCGGCCUUUUGGCUAAGAUCAAGUGGAGAAUGAUAUUCGCUGUGGGUUUUUCAUAGAUGGCUUUUAUGAUAUUGAGGUAUGUACCCUCUAUCCCUACACGCUUAAGAGUUUUAAUCAAGAAAGGAUUCUGUACUUUGUCAAAUGCUUUUCCUCCUCUAUUGAGAGGAUCAUAUGAUUCUUG